GAUGAACGCUGGCGGCGUGCCUAACACAUGCAAGUCGAACGGAGUCGUUUUGGAAAUCUCUUCGGAGAUGGAAUUCUCGACUUAGUGGCGGACGGGUGAGUAACGCGUGAGCAAUCUGCCUUUAAGAGGGGGAUAACAGUCGGAAACGGCUGCUAAUACCGCAUAAAGCAUUAAAUUCGCAUGUUUUUGAUGCCAAAGGAGCAAUCCGCUUUUAGAUGAGCUCGCGUCUGAUUAGCUAGUUGGCGGGGUAACGGCCCACCAAGGCGACGAUCAGUAGCCGGACUGAGAGGUGGAACGGCCACAUUGGGACUGAGACACGGCCCAGACGCCUACGGGAGGCGGCAGUGGGGAAUAGUGCGCAAUGGGGGAAACCCUGACGCAGCAACGCCGCGUGAUUGAAGAAGGCCUUCGGGUUGUAAAGAUCUUUAAUCAGGGACGAAACAAAUGACGGUACCUGAAGAAUAAGCUCCGGCUAACUACGUG
rnacentral:rRNA from 1 species